rnacentral:lncRNA from 1 species
CAGAGACACCUCUGCCCCAGCCCAGAAGUGCAGGCCACUGAGCCCGACUGUCCCCUCUGGAGCUGUCCUCGCCCAGCACCCGUUUCUGCCUGGAGGAGUGAAGGAGGACCUGAGCUCUGUUCCUGACUGAUGGACGCCUGAGGUGGGCAGUGCAGGCCCCGGCUGGCAGCUGCCACCGACCAGGACCAGGCAGCGAGGGUUUCCUGGAGCCUUUGUGCAGAUGAAACUGAUCAGCAGCAGGGGGAAAAUAGCCGUUGCCUCGGCAACCAGCUGAUGACUCAUCCCGCUUUGAAGCCGCCGCCGCCCAAGCCGUGAGACUGCAGUAAUUUUCCAGACGCUUAACCCGCCCUCCUCCUCCUGCUUUUCUUCUCUCUCUCUCUCCUCCCCCUCCCCUCCCGCUCUCCCUCCUUCAGUGCUCCUACGUCCCCAGCCCCCCUCAGCACCGGGUGGUGCCCACCCGGGUCCCGUGCUCUCUGGAGCAGGCAUGGGGACCCCACCCCUGCACACCCCGGUGACCGGCUGGCUCUGCUGCUGCUCCCGUCCGGGCUGCGGCUGGCGAUCCCUCCAGUCCCCAAGAUGCUGCUUCCCAUCCUCCUUUAGAAAAGCCGGCAGGUUUUCUUCUCGCCUAUCCAACCUGAUCUCCGUCGUUUGUCUCAGGGAUCGACCACCAGCAGUUCCUCUGAAGAGAAAGUUACCCAGUGGGCCUCCCCUCGCUAAGAAAUACAGUAUUGAAGCAAUCAGAGUCAUUGACAUUUGGAACACACAAUAUUAAGGAGUUGAAUUACCUGCUCUAUAACACGAACAUUCAAAAAUGUUGGCUUUGAACUCACUAUGUAGCCCAGGCUGGCCUUGAACUCACGAUGAUCCUCCUUCAGCCUACCGAGUGCCGGGAUCACAGGCGUGCGGCACCAUGCCUG